CGGUGGAGUAUGUGGUUUAAUUCGAUGCAACGCGAAGACCUUACCUGGUCUUGACAGUCCCCGGAGACCCUUAGGAAACUAGGGGGUGCCUUCCAUCUGGAAGAAUCUGGAGACAGGUGCUGCAUGGCUGUCGUCAGCUCGUGUCGUGAGAUGGUUGGGUUAAGUCCCGCAACGAGCGCAACCCUUGCCUUUAGUUGCCAGCAGUUCGGCUGGGCACUCUAAAGGGACUGCCGGUGUUAAACCGGAGGAAGGUGGGGAUGACGUCAAGUCCUCAUGGCCUUUAUGACCAGGGCUACACACGUACUACAAUGGCCGAUACAAAGGGCAGCGACACUGCGAGGUGAAGCCAAUCCCGUAAAAUCGGUCUCAGUCCGGAUUGGAGUCUGCAACUCGACUCCAUGAAGUUGGAAUCGCUAGUAAUCGUGGAUCAGCAUGCCACGGUGAAUACGUUCCCGGGCCUU
rnacentral:rRNA from 1 species